rnacentral:rRNA from 1 species
GUUUGAUCAUGGCUCAGAAUCAACGCUGGCGGCGUGCCUAACACAUGCAAGUCGAACGCGAGAGGGGCUUCGGCCCCGAUUGAGUGGCGAACGGGUGAGUAACACGUGGGUGACCUACCGUCGAGUGGGGGAUAACGUCCCGAAAGGGACGCUAAUACCGCAUGACAUCCCGCCCUUGAACAGGCGGAGAUCAAAGCCGGGGAUCGCAAGACCUGGCGCUUGAUGAGGGGCCCGCGUCCGAUUAGCUAGUUGGCGGGGUAACGGCCCACCAAGGCGACGAUCGGUAGCCAGCCUGAGAGGGCGGACGGCCACACUGGGACUGAGACACGGCCCAGACUCCUACGGGAGGCAGCAGUGGGGAAUUGUUCGCAAUGGGCGCAAGCCUGACGACGCAACGCCGCGUGGAGGAUGAAGGUCUUCGGAUUGUAAACUCCUGUUGCCCGGGACGAACGGCUUCAACCUAACACGUUGAAGAUUGACGGUACCGGGUGAGGAAGCCCCGGCUAACUCUGUGCCAGCAGCCGCGGUAAUACAGAGGGGGCAAGCGUUGUUCGGAAUUACUGGGCGUAAAGGGCGCGUAGGCGGCCCGCUAAGUCGAACGUGAAAUCCCCGGGCUCAACCCGGGAACUGCGUCCGAUACCGGUGGGCUCGAAUCCGGGAGAGGGAUGUGGAGUUCCAGGUGUAGCGGUGAAAUGCGUAGAUAUCUGGAGGAACACCGGUGGCGAAGGCGGCAUCCUGGACCGGUAUUGACGCUGAUGCGCGAAAGCCAGGGGAGCAAACGGGAUUAGAUGCCCCGGUAGUCCUGGCCCUAAACGAUGAAUGCUUGGUGUGGCGGGUAUCGAUCCCUGCCGUGCCGAAGCUAACGCAUUAAGCAUUCCGC